AUUCAACGCUGGCGGCAUGCCUUACACAUGCAAGUCGAACGGUAACGGGCCUUCAGGUGCCGACGAGUGGCGAACGGGCGUGUAAUACAGCGGAACGUGCCCGACCGUGGGGGAUAAUGAGGCUAAAGCUUUGCUAAUACCGCAUACGAUCUACGGAUGAAAGCAGGGGACCGCAAGGCCUUGCGCGGACCCACCGGCCGAUGGCAGAUUAGGUAGCUGGUGGGAUAAAAGCUUACCAAGCCGACGAUCUGUACCUGGUCUGAGAGGAUGAUCAGCCACAGUGGGGCUGAGAGACGAGCCAGACUCCAAGGGGAGGCAGCAGUGGGAAAUUUUGGACAAUGUGCGCAGGCCUGAUCGAGCCAUGCCGCGUGCAGGAUGAAGGCCUGCGGGUUGUAAACUGGUUUUGUACGGAACGAAAGGCAUUCUUUUAAUACAGGAGAGUCAUGACGGUACCGUAAGAAUAAGAACCGGCUAACUACGU
rnacentral:rRNA from 1 species